UUUCCGUAGGUGAACCUGCGGAAGGAUCAUUAAUAAAUGUGGUACCGAUUGUUGGUACUAAUUAAUCAUCCUACCCUUUGUGAAUUUGUUUGUAACGAAUUUUUUUAAAUGGGUCUUUCCCUAAGCUGGAUUGUAGUAAAAAUACAAAAAGACUUAGGGGAAUGACUUUUUUAAAAGACUUUUUUUUAAAUUAAAACUUUUGUAUUCAUUUGUCUAAAAUUUAUUUUUAUAAUAUAAAAACAACUUUUGACAAUGGAUCUCUUGGUUCUCGCAACGAUGAAGAACGCAGCAAAAUGCGAUAAGUAGUGUGAAUUGCAGAAUACGUGAAUCAUCGAAUCUUCGAACGCAUAUUGCACUUUUUUAGUUUACUAAAAAGUAUGUCUGUUUGAGUAUCAGUAAAAUAUUCUCACAAAAACAAUGUUUUUUGUGGUUAUGAGUGUUUUACAACGAUAAACAAGUUGUUUCACUUUAAAUUCUUUUUAAUUGAUUUUACCAAUUCAUAAAUUAAAAUUGGAUAAAAUUUUCCUUUAACGAGGAAUAACCUAAACAAUUUUAAAUUUUAUGGAUUAAUUAACAUUCAACAAAGGAAUCUAUACAACAAAUAACUUGAUCUCAAAUCAGAUAAGAGUACCCGCUGAACUUAAGCAUAUCAAUAAGCGGAGGAAAAGAAACUAACAAGGAUUCCCUUAGUAACGGCGAGUGAAGCGGGAAGAGCUCAAAUUUGAAAUCUUCAAGGUUUGACCUUGACGAAUUGUAGUUUAUAGAAGUGUUUUCUGUUGGAGUUUGGUAAAAGUUCUUUGGAAUAGGACAUCAUAGAGGGUGAGAAUCCCGUAUUUGACCAUGACUUUCCAGCUGUGUGAUACACUUUCAAAGAGUCGGAUUGUUUGGGAAUGCAGUCCAAAAUGGGUGGUAAAUUUCAUCUAAAGCUAAAUAUUGGCGAGAGACCGAUAGCGAACAAGUACCGUGAGGGAAAGAUGAAAAGAACUUUGAAAAGAGAGUUAAACAGUACGUGAAAUUGUCAAAAGGGAAGCGUUUGACACCAGUGUUGUUUUCUCGAAAAUCAAUUUAACGAGUUCUUGUUUUUAAGUUAUUGUGACUUUAUCAGCGCAUUUCUUAUUUUACUUGACUCAUUGAAUGCACUUUUCGUUUAACAAGUCAACAUCAAUUUCUUUGGUGGUAAAAAGUUUAAAGGAAGGUGGCUUGGACUUCGGUUCAAGUGUUUAUAGCCUUUUUUCUAUGCCAUCGGAGAGAUUGAGGUCUGCAGCGUAGAUCCUUCGGGGUUAGAUACCUUUGUGCUAAGUUAUAGUUUUUUAUAGACAACUUGUUGACUAUAAUUAACCCUGUAAUUUACUCGCUUAGGCUAUUU
rnacentral:misc_RNA from 1 species